AGAUAUAGGGUGCAGAUGCACGCGUGCCGUACGACGCUCGAGGCUAUGUUCCCACCACAAGUUCCCCUGGGGCUAGGAGACACAGAGGGAGGCGGGGCAAGGGGUGGGGCGACGACCGCGGGACCCGCGGAACCUCUCUGCUUUCGCCCUCUCUUUUUCCCAGCGCGCUCCCGCCGCUGUGCAAAACCGGAGAAUUUAGGCUCGGAGCCGCGCUCGCUCGCUCGUGCGCGCGCGCCCUCGCCGGGAGGAGCGGCUGAGGGCGGAGCUCCUCGAGAGAGGAAGAUGGCGGCGGCGGCGGCGACGAGCGGACAGACUUCGGUGGUUCCCUACGAGUGGAUAAAAAACUGGGAGAAAGUGGGCAAGCUGGAAUUUGUGCAGCUAUGUCGAGCCCUCUGUGAAAAUAAAAACCGUGAACAUUUGAUUUUCAGAGAUCUCCAGCAAGUUAUCUAUGAGCUAUCAUAUCAUGUUAUAAGGGGAACUCUAAAGCCUGAACAAGCAUCAAAUGCUCUCAGUGACAUUAUUGACUAUCGUGAGGAUAUGCCCUCCAUCCUAGCUGAUGUAUUCUGCAUCUUAGAUAUUGAGACAAGUUGUUUAGAAGAAAAAAGCAAAAGAGACCAUUUUACACAGUUGGUGUUAUCCUGUUUGUAUUUAGUUUCAGACACAAUCCUAAAGGAACGUUUGGAUCCAGAAACCUUGGAAUCUUUAGGACUUAUUAAGCAGUCGCAACAAUUCAACCAAAAAUCUGUUAAAAUCAAGACAAAACUUUUUUAUAAGCAGCAAAAAUUCAACCUCUUAAGAGAAGAGAAUGAAGGUUAUGCAAAAUUGAUUGCAGAAUUGGGGCAGGAUUUGUCUGGAAGUAUUACUAGUGACUUAAUCUUAGAAAAUAUCAAAUCUUUAAUAGGAUGUUUUAAUCUGGACCCGAACAGAGUUCUGGAUGUCAUUUUAGAAGUCUAUGAAUGCAGACCAGAAUAUGAUGAGUUCUUUGUACCUUUAAUAGAAUCCUAUAUGUAUAUGUGUGAACCUCAAACACUAUGUCAUAUUCUUGGAUUCAAAUUUAAGUUUUAUCAGGAACCAAAUGGAGAAACACCAUCAUCUUUAUACAGAGUUGCAGCAAUACUUCUGCAGUAUGAUCUUAUUGAUUUAGACGAUCUUUAUGUUCAUCUUCUUCCAGUGGAUAAUACCAUUCUCGAUGAACACAAACAAGAAAUUGUGGAAGCCAAGCAAAUUGUUAGAAAACUUACCAUGCUUGUCUUGUCUUCUGAAAAGAUGGAUGAGAGAGACAAAGAAAAGGAAAAAGAGGAGGAGAAAACAGAUAAGCCACCUGACAACCAGAAACUUGGUUUAUUGGAAGCUCUGUUAAAGAUUAGUGAUUGGCAACAUGCACAAAACAUUAUGGAUCAGAUGCCCCCAUUUUAUGCUUCUUCACACAGGCCAAUAGCCAUUGCUCUUUGCCAGCUUAUCCAUGUUACUAUUGACCCCCUCUACCGAAGAGUUGGUGUACCUAAAGGUGCUAAAGGAUCAAUUGUUGCUCUGUUGCAAAACAAGCGAGCACCAAAACAGGCAGAGAGUUUUGAAGAUAUGAAGAAAGAAGUAUUCGAUAUGCUCUGUCAUCUUGGUCCUCACCUUUCUCAUGAUCCCAUUUUGUUUGCCAAAGUGGUGCGCUUAGGGAAAGCAUUUAUGAAAGAGGAUUAUAGAUUUAGAAUGGAAGUUCCCUUGAGGUUUCAGGCUGAUGGAAGCAAACAAGAAGAAAAAGAGAGAAUGGAAAUUUUGCUUAGCUGUUUGCUGACUAUUACAGAUGAGGUGCUACUUCCUUCUCUUUCUUUGAUGGAUUGCAAUGCUUGUAUGUCUGAAGAACUAUGGGGAAUGUUCAAAUCAUUUCCAUAUCAAUACAGGUAUCGUCUGUAUGGUCAGUGGAAGAACGAAACUUAUAAUAGUCAUCCACUUUUGGUAAAAGUUAAAGCUCAAACAAUAGAUAGAGCCAAAUAUAUAAUGAAGCGAUUGACAAAAGAAAAUGUGAAGCCUUCUGGAAGACAAAUUGGGAAAUUGAGCCACAGCAACCCAACCAUUUUGUUUGAUUACAUUUUAUCACAAAUACAGAAGUAUGAUAACUUAAUAACACCAGUAGUAGACUCAUUGAAAUACCUCACUUCAUUGAACUAUGAUGUCUUGGCCUAUUGCAUCAUUGAAGCUUUGGCUAAUCCAGAGAAGGAAAGGAUGAAACAUGAUGACACAACCAUCUCAAGCUGGCUUCAGAGUCUAGCAAGUUUUUGUGGUGCCGUUUUUCGUAAAUAUCCAAUUGAACUUGCUGGUCUUCUUCAGUAUGUGGCAAAUCAGCUAAAAGCAGGAAAAAGCUUUGACCUACUUAUUUUGAAAGAGGUGGUACAAAAAAUGGCAGGAAUUGAAAUAACUGAAGAAAUAACAAUGGAGCAGCUAGAGGCCAUGACUGGUGGGGAACAACUUAAAGCUGAGGGUGGCUACUUUGGACAGAUCAGAAACACUAAAAAAUCCUCUCAGAGGCUAAAGGAUGCAUUAUUGGACCAUGAUCUUGCUCUUCCUCUAUGCUUGCUUAUGGCUCAACAGAGAAAUGGUGUCAUUUUUCAGGAAGGAGGAGAGAAACACUUAAAGCUGGUGGGAAAAUUAUAUGACCAGUGUCAUGAUACUCUGGUACAGUUUGGUGGCUUUUUAGCAUCUAAUUUAAGCACAGAGGAUUAUAUAAAGAGAGUGCCUUCAAUUGAUGUGCUUUGUAAUGAGUUCCACACACCUCAUGAUGCAGCAUUUUUCCUGUCUAGGCCUAUGUAUGCACACCAUAUUUCAUCAAAGUAUGAUGAACUUAAAAAAGCUGAGAAGGGAAGUAAGCAGCAACAUAAAGUUCAUAAAUAUAUCACAUCAUGUGAGUUAGUGAUGGCUCCAGUCCAUGAGGCAGUGGUCUCCUUGCAUUUGCCAAAAGUAUGGGAUGACAUCAGCCCUCAGUUCUAUGCCACAUUUUGGUCAUUGACAAUGUAUGACCUUGCAGUUCCACGUAACAGCUAUGAAAGAGAAGUCAAUAAAUUGAAAGUCCAGAUGAAAGCAGUUGAUGACAAUCAGGAGAUGCCUCCAAAUAAAAAGAAAAAAGAGAAGGAACGUUGUACUGCCCUUCAGGACAAGCUUCUCGAAGAAGAGAAAAAACAGAUAGAACAUGUCCAGAGAGUUCUGCAGAGACUAAAGCUGGAAAAAGAUAACUGGCUUUUAGCAAAAUCUACAAAAAAUGAGACCAUCACAAAAUUUCUACAGUUGUGUAUAUUUCCUCGCUGCAUUUUUUCAGCAAUUGAUGCUGUUUACUGUGCUCGUUUUGUAGAAUUGGUGCAUCAGCAGAAAACUCUUAAUUUUUCCACACUUUUGUGCUAUGAUAGAGUUUUCUCUGAUAUAAUUUAUACAGUAGCAAGCUGUACUGAAAAUGAAAGUAGUCGCUAUGGAAGAUUCCUCUGCUGCAUGUUAGAAACUGUGACAAGGUGGCAUAGUGAUAGAGCAAUAUAUGAAAAGGAAUGUGGAAACUAUCCAGGCUUCCUUACAAUUUUACGGGCAACUGGAUUUGAUGGUGGAAACAAAGCUGAUCAGUUAGACUAUGAGAAUUUUCGGCAUGUGGUGCACAAGUGGCAUUAUAAACUAACAAAGGCAUCUGUGCAUUGUCUUGAAACGGGUGAAUAUACUCACAUCAGGAACAUUCUUAUCGUGCUGACCAAAAUACUUCCUUGGUAUCCCAAAGUUUUGAACCUGGGCCAGGCUUUGGAACGAAGAGUACAUAAAAUCUGUCAAGAAGAAAAAGAGAAGAGACCUGACCUAUAUGCAUUGGCUAUGGGCUAUUCUGGGCAGUUGAAAAGUAGAAAGCCAUACAUGAUACCUGAAAAUGAAUUCCACCACAAAGAUCCUCCCCCAAGGAAUGCUGUUGCUGCCACUGUACAAAAUGGGCCCGGUGGUGUUGGCCUAUCUACAUCACUCACAAUAAAUGCAGCUAAAUUGGAAGAAAGCACUACUGAGGAGACUGAUAAAGGAAAGGAGAAGUCUCAGGGUGCUGUGAAAAUUGCCAAUAAAGCUGCCAAUUCAACACCAAAAGCGACUCCAAAUAACGGGAACAAUGCUUCUAAUAGCAAAGUGACUAAAGAAAAUGACAAAGACAAAAGUGGGAAAGAAAAAGACAGAGAUAAAAAAGAAAAGACUCCAGCUGCCACUCCAGAGGCCAAGGCACUUGGUAAAGAUGGUAAAGAAAAACCAAAGGAAGAGCGGCCAAACAAAGAUGAUAAGGCAAAAGAGAUCAAGGAAAAAACACCCAAAUCUGACAAGGAGAAGGAAAAAUUCAAGAAGGAUGAAAAAUCUUCUAAAGAUGAAAAAUUCAAGACAGUUGUUACCACCACUGAAUCAAAAUCAGCUGUAGAAAAGGAAAGAGACAAGGAACCAUCCAGAGAGAAAGAUGUAGCGAAGGAAACGAAAUCCAAGGAAAAUAAUAAAGGAGGAGAAAAGACACCAGUUGCUGGGUCCUUGAAGUCACCUGUUCCCCGAUCAGAAACAUCAGAGUCUGAAAGGGAACAAAAACGCCGCAAACUUGAUAGCCACUCUUCUCCAUCACAUUCCUCAACAGUAAAGGUUAGUAUAGCCUGAGGAAGGCAGCGUCCAUGUUAGGCUCACCUGUUUGGAAUACCAGUGUCCCGACUUCCUUCAAGUCUUGUGCCUUCAUUGGAGCCACUGGAGGUUUUGUAUUGCAUUACACAAUGCAUUCCUUGUCUGUAUUGGUGGACUUUUUUUCUGUUGCAUAUUUUUCUUAAUAAAACUUCAAGGACCUAGCACAAAUUUGUAAAUAGUGUUUGCAAAGUGCAAGAGAAAUUUUACCCAGAAGUGCCUUAUUGUUUUAAGCAGUCCUUUUUUUUGGAGUGCAAUGGUAGCUACAAGCAAAUGAGUCUUGGCAACAGAAUGGAGCCUAUUUUUUUCUGCAUUCAUAUUGAAGAAUAUAUAGUACCGAAGACUUCCUGGAUGAUACGGGAUAAACAAGAUACCUCUGAAUUCAUCAGGCUUCUUGAUGAGCAUCAUACCGAUGUGUGCCUUUCUAAGAAGGAAUCUUGAAAGGAGUUCCAUUUUAAAGUCUCCUUGGUGAUCAGUUCUCCUGUAGUUGUAUAUAUUCAGUGAGCAUGCAGCUUCUGUUGUGUCUUCCCUUGGAGGUUUGUUUAUAUCCAUUGGGUUCCCAAGAUGUUGAACCCAGCGUUACGAUAAAAGCAGAUGUGGCAUCCAGUCCUACCACCCAGCAAAGAGAAACCUCAGGCAUUCAACUGCAGCACAAAAUCGUGGGUGUAGCCUUCUUGAAGACUCAGGGUAGCCAUUCCUUGCUCCAUGUUUAAUUUUAAUUCUAAAUCAUCUAAGUUCAUGGAAUCUUUGAAUUUGCAGUACGUUGAACCUUUAAAACUGACAACCUCAGCGAGCUCAAGGAGUCAUCGACAAAGGUGAAAUGGAAAGAUUGUCAUCUUUGACCAGAAAUGUCUUUUCCUAAGUAGAUGGCACAGAAAUUUGUGAACAAAGAGGACCCAUCUACAUCUCCUUAAAUUAUUCAGUUUUCUGCUUUAUUUUCCCCAUGCUGAAAACCUAAAAAUUAUUGAGUUGUGCAUUUCUGUAUUUUAACUUGUUGCUUAGAUUGGUUCUUCCACAUUUAUUUUCAGUACAUGGCUGAAAGUGUUACUUAUUCCCUAUUUUUUUUUAGCACAAUGUGCUGCAAACAGUUGCCAUGGAGCAAAUAAGGAGGUUACAUGUAUACUAGAAUUUCAGUUUAGAUUAUCUAAAUACUGCCUGGGUUUAGUCAUUCUGUCAAUUUUCAAUGCAUUCUUUUUAUUGUUGGAAACAAAAUAAACAGCAGCUGUUUAACCCUUUUGAAGUUACCUCAUUGAAAACUCCGUUUUUAUUUCUUAUUUGACCUGUUUUUUAAUAUCAGUGACUAAAAGCCAGUGGGGAGCACUGUUUCAUGCAGUCCUUAGGAAUUCUUUGUUUAUUAUGUGUACAACAUUUAAAUUUGUUUUUAAAGAGAAAAGUAAUAAGUUCAGCUGUCACUUGGCCCCAUAACCUUUUCCUUUGUCCAUGCUGUUUUUAAAUAAAUUGGGAAAAAUGAAUCCCUCAAAAAAACCAAAAUAAAUUUAAGCUUCAUUCAGUUCUACAGCUACAGGAGCUUUUUAUCACUAAACUCUAGUCCAAAAAGUUUCAUAAUGGCAUUAAAAAAUUUUUUUUAAUCGACUGAAUUCUACCAGUGUAACCUUUUUUUCUAAAUAAACAAUAGUUUUCUCAA